rnacentral:rRNA from 1 species
GGGUGCGAGCGUUGUCCGGAAUUAUUGGGCGUAAAGAGCUUGUAGGCGGUUUGUCGCGUCUGCUGUGAAAAUCCGGGGCUCAACCCCGGACUUGCAGUGGGUACGGGCAGACUAGAGUGUGGUAGGGGAGACUGGAAUUCCUGGUGUAGCGGUGAAAUGCGCAGAUAUCAGGAGGAACACCGAUGGCGAAGGCAGGUCUCUGGGCCACUACUGACGCUGAGAAGCGAAAGCAUGGGGAGCGA